UACGAAGGGGGCUAGCGUUGCUCGGAAUUACUGGGCGUAAAGCGCGUGUAGGCGGCAAGGCAAGUCGGAUGUGAAAGCCCUGGGCUCAACCCAGGAAGUGCACUCGAUACUGCCUCGCUAGAGUCCCGGAGAGGUUGGUGGAACUCUCGGUGUAGAGGUGAAAUUCGUAGAUAUCGGAGAAGACACCGGUGGCGAAGGCG
rnacentral:rRNA from 1 species